rnacentral:rRNA from 1 species
CCUACGGGUGGCAGCAGUGGGGAAUAUUGGUCAAUGGGCGCGAGCCUGAACCAGCCAAGCAGCGUGAAGGAUGACUGCCCUACGGGUUUUAAACUUCUUUUAUAAAGGAAUAAAGUGAGGCAUGUGUGCCUUUUUGUAUGUACUUUAUGAAUAAGGAACGGCUAACUCCGUGCCAGCAGCCGCGGUAAUACGGAGGAUCCGAGCGUUAUCCGGAUGUAUUGGGCUUAAAGGGAGCGUAGAUGGGUUGUUAAGUCAGUUGUGAAAGUUUGCGGCUCAACCGUAAAAUUGCAAUUGAUACUGGCAGUCGUGAGUACAGUAGAGGUAGGCGGAAUUCGUGGUGUAGCGGUGAAAUGCGUAGAUAUCACGAAGAACUCUGAUUGCGAAGGCAGCUUACUAGACUGCCACUGACGUUGAUGCUCGAAAGUGUGGGGAGCAAACAGGAUUAGAUACCCUGGUAGUC